GAGGUACUGUGAGCGAUGAGCUCACUAAAUGAUACCCCCCGCCUCCAUAUACUAGUAGUUUUAAUGGCAAAGUCCAUGUUUUGCUAUGGCCGGAAAACCCAAAAUAUGUGUCGGAUCAAAAAGUAAAAUAGGAGGUGCACAAUGGCAAUAUGUAAUAAAGAUUCUGUGAAAGUUUCAUCAAAUUUCAUUCAGUGGUAUGAGAGGAGUUGCGGAUAAGAGAUGGGUACCCUAAAGCGUAACAGACGGACGGACGGACGGACGGACGGACAGACUAGCUGUUCUUACGAGAGGUACAUUGUGGGGUAAAAUUAACGUAUUUUCCAGCAGUGUGGGGUUUUUUGGGUACUGUGGGGUUAACCCCAUAAUGAAGAGGUCUAAUUACGUUCAAAAUUACUCUAUGAGGUCGAAAAACCUAAAAUUAGAUUUAACCUCACAAAGACUUUGUCCAAAUUUUGGACAUGUCCUUAGCCCAAAACGCUCAGACAUUCAGAAAUCUGCUGUUUAGAGGAGUUCGGUAAUUGAAUCGAGGAGUUCCGAAUACCUGAGCAUGCGCAUAUAUUUAAAACUAACUGCGCAUGCGCAGAAUACGGAAGUAGCUGUGUUUGGACAUUUUGUAUUAGCAGUGAGGAAAUUCGGAAACACAAAAAGCAAAUGCAAGGUCUGCAAUGAAAAUCGACCGAUACCCGGGGGUCGGGCUAGUGGUUUUCUGCAAGAGGGUCGCCCCGUUGGCCAGUAAAAAAAGAUAAUAUUAUUUAUACACGUGCAAUACAUGCAAAGCACACCUGAGUUCAGAUACUGAAAGUGAACAUCAGUGGAACUUUGAUGAUCUAGGCCGCUCUAUUUUUGCAGCAACACCAGCAUGCGUCGGACAUUCAUAAAGUUGAAAGAACAAACCUAUGACUUGAACACACAAUUUGUGAUCUGAAUAUAGUUCACAAAUUUAAGGAAAGCAACUAUCAAAGACAUCCAGAUUGAUGGUAUACAUGAAGUAUGAAUGAAAGACUUUUCAGAAGAACAAGCGCAAUCCCGAUUCAUUCUUGCCAUUGUCUUCUCCAGACGGUGACAUUUAGGACCUGACUUACUUUUCAGAAAAAGAAGAUGAAUCGAUUUUUGAUAGUUGAUCUUAAAAAGAUAACAUUUUCAGGGGUCGUGGAUUGAAUGACAUUUUCUUGCAAUCUCCCAUGCAGAGUUGUCGUUCGUUCCUCUCUCAGACACCUCUGCAAUGGGCUCACGUCAAGAUUUUUGACAUAACGUGUAAAACUUGAUAUUUGAAGAAUUGUUUCAAUUCAAAUCAAUAGUUCUGGAUUGAUUUAGUAAAUAUCUAUCUAAAAAUUCAGACAUAAACAUAGAAAUUGAAUUGUAAUGAAUUAAAACAAACGCACUAUUUCUCGUGUUUAAAACUGUGUAUACGCGAGCCAACGACAGAGGUGAAUGUAUGAGCCGAUGGUAGAGAGUGAUUUUCUUGAUGGGCAACUAGUUUCAAGUAUUUGGAUGUCUAUUCUCAAGUUACUGCAAACCUUAAAUUAACUUCUUGAUUAUUAGUUAAAUGUGAGACCGUUUCUUACUUGAAGUAAUCAUUUUUUGAAUUGAGCUAUGUAAUCUCUGAUUACUUAUGUUUAUGAGUAGUGUUCAGCUUUAAGACAAAAGGAUCUUUUAUGAACAUUGCAUUCGUCAUGGUGAAUUUCUAUACAUUAAGUAACAGUCAUAGUUUUCGUCUUUUUUAAUUAGCGAUCUCAUUUUAAAUGUGAGAAAUAAUUAUUAAACUGAAAUGUACAUUUAUGUUGUUUGAUUUUUAUUUUUUUGAAAAUUGUAAAUCAAUUGCAUGUUGUUGUUUUUUUUUCAUUUUAUUUUAGGGGAUUGGAGUGGGGGUGCAGCUGUAAGUUUGAGUAUAUUUUCCAAAAGGAUUUACGUCGUUAUUUUUGUUUAAAUAUCAAUUUUAAAAUGCAAAAUGAUGAGAUAUUAGACUACACAUUUUUUCUUAAAACUUCAUUUAAAUUAAUAUAUUUUGUUUAAAAUAAGUAGCAACACCAUGCAAGUUUUAGAGUUAUUUGACAACUCACUAUAUACUUGUUUUUUUUUUACAU